rnacentral:ncRNA from 1 species
ACCAUCCAUGUCUUGGGGAGCAAAAUGUCCAAUGAUCGUUAAGUGAGGGCAUUGAUGCUGACACCAUUUAAAUUACUAUUUAUAUUUUAAUCUCUAGUGUAACUGAAGAACAGUUUAGCUGAUAUUUUUAGAAUA